UGUAGAAACAACUCCAUCUCAUUUUCUCCUCCAACUUCAAAAUCGUCUAACAUUGUUCUUUUACCUUUUAGGUAAAGGGCGUUUGACUUAGUCUUUGCACGUUCGCUUUGUAAACACCUGCUCGGUACUUCCGCCUACGUCACGCGUGACCUUUCCAACGUGAUUAUAUCAUGCGUGGCGGAUUGCAUAGCAGUGCAAGAAGAGCAUUUGUGGUUAAAAAGUAUAUACAUUUUUAAUUUUUUUUUAGAAAAUGACAUGAUCGUUUCACUAGAUAAGACCCUUAUUCCUGGAAUGUUUUCCUCAAAAACCUCUUUUCGACUUAAGAAAGAAAGACAUGAACAUCUUGGAUGACAUGGAGAUGUGUCUGAUAAAGUACCCUGCAGAGAGGCAGACGUCCUGACUCCAUUGGUGGAAGGGUGUGUUUAGAGCUUGGGUGUAUUGUGUAUGCUGUGCGUCACUGGACCUCACAGAGAUGUCAUCUCCAUCCAGACGUUGUUUUGGUUUCUGUGUUUGGAUUUUACGUUAUCACGUGGGCAAAUGGCUAUACUCACCCCUACACACAUUUACAGGCAAGCACGUGCAAGUGUAAUGUUAUUAGAGGUUAGAAGUAUAGGUAACCAAUCACAUAUGAUGGGCAGAGACAGAUGUGUUGUUGGUUAGAAGAAAACAAGAUUCUGCCGGUUGCAGGGUUAGAAAAACAUAGUUCACCCCAACAUCAAAAGAAAAAUAUGAAAAUAUGAAAUUAUAUUUUGUAUGCAAAACAAUGCCUAUUUUAAGAUUUUUUUCAUUGUGACACUAUUUUCAUGCCCACCUUUCCUCCAAAAUAUAAUUUUCAUUAUACAAAUAAUCAAUAAAAAAAAUAAAUAGAAUAAAUACAUUACUGUAAAUUAUUGUAAAUUCUACAAGUUUAUAAAUUAUUGUAAAUUAGUUAUGCAUC